AUUAAUUGGCCUUGUUGCUUAUUAUUGCUUGAGAAGCUUAAUUAUUACAAUUGACUUACCAAUUGUUAUUAAUUAAUGUACUGAUGAUCCAUAAUGGAGAAUAGAGGGUUGAAGGAAUCUCCACAAUUAACAAAUUCGUAAUUCACUGUAAGAUGACCUUGUUCAUAUCCCUUCCCAUCUGUGUCCAAUUUACGGAAGACAUUCACGUCUAAAUCUAGUCCUCCAUUACUACACUGAUC
rnacentral:misc_RNA from 1 species